GAUGAACGCUAGCGGCAGGCUUAACACAUGCAAGUCGAGGGGUAGAGGUUGCUUGCAACCUUGAGACCGGCGCACGGGUGCGUAACGCGUCUGCAACCUGCCUUUUACAGAGGGAUAGCCCAGAGAAAUUUGGAUUAAUACCUCAUAGUAUAUCACCUUCGCAUGUAGGUUAUAUUAAAGUUCCAAGGGCAAACGAUGGGCAUGCGUCCUAUUAGCUAGAUGGUAAGGUAACGGCUUACCAUGGCUACGAUAGGUAGGGGUCCUGAGAGGGAGAUCCCCCACACUGGUACUGAGACACGGACCAGACUCCUACGGGAGGCAGCAGUGAGGAAUAUUGGACAAUGGGCGCAAGCCUGAUCCAGCCAUGCCGCGUGCAGGAAGACGGUCCUAUGGAUUGUAAACUACUUUUGUACGGGAAGAAACACUCCUACGUGUAGGAGCUUGACGGUACCGUAAGAAUAAGGAUCGGCUAACUCCGUGCCAGCAGCCGCGGUAAUAC
rnacentral:rRNA from 1 species